AAGAAAUCAGUGUGGUGUUCAAAAUGUAAAGUCGACGUUUUUCUCACCAACAGAGUUAACUAUAUUAAGCAGUUUGGGCUCAACCUCACACUGACCCUCAAUGAUGAAAAUAAAUUGUCACAGGAGCAGUCACAAGAACAGACGUCCAAUUCAUGGGAUUACAUAUGGAGUGCACCAUACAUGGUGUGGUCCAGAGUAAAGGUCUACUGCUUCAUCACUGGAGACACAUUUGGUGCUCAUGAGAGCAUAAUGGCAAACGUCAGUAACAACUGGCCAUUCCAUUCAUUUGUUGAGCAACAAAAUCCAGAGAAUUCUCAAGUCAUCGUUGUCUUUUGUCCAAUCACCUCACGUGUUGGAUCAGAUGUGGAAUCAGCCAUGACAGACCAUCGAGUGUCAUCGUCAGAAAAACCAGUGAUUCUGAUUCUUAUGCAUCACACCAGAGAUGUCGGCUAUUCAACAGGAGAAACCAAGUGGUCGGAAACGUAUAAAGAUGUUGUGCUGGAAGUCCAUGUUUUCUUCCAUGAGACUGAACCAGGAUUACUGAAUUGUCAAAGGAACGACCUGGCAAUGGAAGCAGUUAAGCAAAAGUUAUAUAGUUAUUGGAAAUAGACCUCUUAAUAUCUACAAUAUUUCUCAACAAGACCAGUCACAUGCCUUUCAAGGUUUUUAAAGUGUAACUAAGAAAUUUAUAAUUUUUGAGUUUCUGGCCCCCAAACGUUUCUAAUAUUUGGUUUCAGUUCUGAUUUAUAUGAAUAGACAGAGUAACUCGGGUUGAGGCAAUAAAGUUAUAAUAAAGCAAAAAAUUUAUUUCUGUUUGGCUUUCAACAAAUCUGGUGUUAUUGUUUCUAUUUUUUCUUGAAUGUAAAAACACAACUAAUAAUCACAUCUUGUAUUGCAUGC